GCGGUCGUGGCCGAGCGGUCUAAGGCGCUAGUUUCAGGUACUAGUUCGUAACAGAGCGCGGGUUCGAACCCCGCCGACCGUA